UGCUCGGAAUCACUGGGCGUAAAGCGCACGCAGGCGGAUUGUUAAGUCAGGGGUGAAAUCCCGGAGCUCAACUUCGGAAUUGCCUUUGAUACUGUCUGUCUUGAGUCCGGGAGAGGUGAGUGGAAUUCCUAGUGUAGAGGUGAAAUUCGUAGAUAUUAGGAAGAACACCAGUGGCGAAGGCGGCUCACUGGCCCGGUACUGACGCUCAUGUGCGAAAGCGUGGGGAGCAAACAGG
rnacentral:rRNA from 1 species